rnacentral:rRNA from 1 species
UACAGAGGGUGCGAGCGUUAAUCGGAUUUACUGGGCGUAAAGCGUGCGUAGGCGGCUUAUUAAGUCGGAUGUGAAAUCCCCGAGCUUAACUUGGGAAUUGCAUUCGAUACUGGUGAGCUAGAGUAUGGGAGAGGAUGGUAGAAUUCCAGGUGUAGCGGUGAAAUGCGUAGAGAUCUGGAGGAAUACCGAUGGCGAAGGCAGCCAUCUGGCCUAAUACUGACGCUGAGGUACGAAAGCAUGGGGAGCAAACAGGAUUAGAUACCCUGGUAGUCCAUGCCGUAAACGAUGUCUACUAGCCGUUGGGGCCUUUGAGGCUUUAGUGGCGCAGCUAACGCGAUAAGUAGACCGCCUGGGGAGUACGGUCGCAAGACUAAA